rnacentral:tRNA from 1 species
UGCAGUGUAACUUAACGGCAAAGUUCUCGGCUCAUAACCGAGUAGAUGCGGGUACCCUUCGGGAAGCCGCUAUCGCGUCUACAACUCCCGCCACUGCUACCA